UUUUGUUUUAAAAUAACCGCUUAUUUUACGUUAUAGCGACUAGUUCGUUGUGGAAAUUAUAACUCAAUGGAAAGGGAAAGUGUUUAUUCCCUGGAGAGGAAAAUACAUUCAGUUAUUGUGAUGUUAUUUGCUGUGAAAGACCGACCGAAAUUUCAAACUUUGUCGCUGUACUGGUUCAUAAAAAUUUCAACUCGCAGGUCGAGCAUGGAUAAAGAUAC
rnacentral:lncRNA from 1 species